rnacentral:rRNA from 1 species
AUACAGGGGGUGCGAGCGUUAAUCGGAAUUACUGGGCGUAAAGAGUACGUAGGCGGUUGCUUAAGUCAGAUGUGAAAGCCCCGGGCUCAACCUGGGAACUGCAUUUGAAACUGAGUGACUAGAGUUUAAGAGAGGGGAGUAGAAUUCCGGGUGUAGCGGUGAAAUGCGCAGAGAUCCGGAGGAAUACCAGUGGCGAAGGCGGCUCCCUGGCUUAAAACUGACGCUGAGGUACGAAAGCGUGGGUAGCAAACAGGAUUAGAAACCCUAGUAGUCC